CUGUGGUAUUGGAUGGUGUCUGUGGUACUGGGUGGUGUCUGUGACCCUGGGAGGUGUCUGUGGUACUGGGUGGUGUCUAUGUCCAUGGGUGAUGUCUGUGGUACUGGUUGGUGUCUGUGGUACUGGGUGGUGUCUGUGACCCUGGGUGGUGUCUAUUACCCUAGGUGGUGUCUGUGGUACUGGGUGGUGUCUGUGACUGUGGGUGGUGUCUGUGGUACUGGGUGGUGUGUGUGGUACUGGGUGGGGUGGUGUCUGUGGUACUGGGUGGUGUCUGCGGUAUUGGAUGGUGUCUGUGGUACUGGGUGGUGUCUGUGACCCUGGGUGGUGUCUGUGACCCUGGGAGGUGUCUGUGGUACUGGGUGGUGUCUAUGACCAUGGGUGAUGUCUGUGGUACUGGGUGGUGUCUGUGGUACUGGGUGGUGUCUAUGUCCAUGGGUGAUGUCUGUGGUACUGGUUGGUGUCU
ensembl:lncRNA